rnacentral:rRNA from 1 species
UACGGGGGGAGCAAGCGUUGUUCGGAUUUACUGGGCGUAAAGGGCGCGUAGGCGGCCACCGCAAGUCGACUGUGAAAUCUCCGGGCUUAACCCGGAAAGGUCAGCCGAUACUGCGGGGCUAGAGUGCAGAAGGGGCAACUGGAAUUCUCGGUGUAGCGGUGAAAUGCGUAGAUAUCGAGAGGAACACCGGUGGCGAAGGCGGGUCUCUGGGCAAUUCCUGACGCUGAGGCGCGAAAGCCAGGGGAGCGAACGGG